rnacentral:rRNA from 1 species
GACGAACGCUGGCGGCGGGCUUAACACAUGCAAGUCGAACGGAAAGGUGAUGGUUUUGUGGGGUGCUCGAGUGGCGAACGGGUGAGUAACACGUGAGUAACCUGAACUUGACUAUGGGAUAACUUCAGGAAACUGGGGCUAAUACUGGAUAGGAGCUCCUGCUGCAUGGUGGGGGUUGUAAAGUUUCGGGGGCUGGGGAUGGACUCGCGGCUUAUUAGCUUGUUGGUGGGGUAGUGGCAUACCAAGGCUUUGACGGGUAGGCGGCCUGAGAGGGUGACCGGCCACAUUGGGACUGAGAUACGGCCCAGACUACUACGGGAGGCAGCAGUAGGGAAGAGUGCACAAUGCACCCAAGUCUGGUGCAGCAACGCCGCGUGCUGGAUGGCGGCCUUCUGGUAUUAGACCGCUAUCGCCUGUAACGAAGCGUGAUUGACGGUAAUGGAUAAAGAAGGACCGGCUAACUACGUG